rnacentral:rRNA from 2 species
AAGUCGAACGGCAGCGCGGGGAGCUUGCUCCCUGGCGGCGAGUGGCGGACGGGUGAGUAACGCGUAGGAAUCUACCCAGUAGUGGGGGACAACCCGGGGAAACUCGGGCUAAUACCGCAUACGCCCUACGGGGGAAAGGGGGGGACCUCUUCGGAGGCCUCUCGCUAUUGGAUGAGCCUGCGUCGGAUUAGCUUGUUGGUAGGGUAAUGGCCUACCAAGGCGACGAUCUGUAGCUGGUCUGAGAGGACGAUCAGCCACACUGGGACUGAGACACGGCCCAGACUCCUACGGGAGGCAGCAGUGGGGAAUAUUGGACAAUGGGGGCAACCCUGAUCCAGCAAUGCCGCGUGUGUGAAGAAGGUCUUCGGGUUGUAAAGCACUUUCAGUGGGGAAGAAAAGCUUGAGGUUAAUACCCUCGGGUCUUGACGGUACCUACAGAAGAAGCACCGGCUAACUCCGUGCCAGCAGCCGCGGUAAUACGGAGGGUGCGAGCGUUAAUCGGAAUCACUGGGCGUAAAGCGUGCGUAGGCGGUUCGGUAAGUCAGAUGUGAAAGCCCUGGGCUCAACCUGGGAACUGCAUUUGAUACUGUCGAGCUAGAG